CACAUGCAAGUCGAGGGGCAGCAUGAUUGAAGCUUGCUUCAAUUGAUGGCGACCGGCGCACGGGUGAGUAACGCGUAUCCAACCUUCCGUACACUCAGGGAUAGCCUUUCGAAAGAAAGAUUAAUACCUGAUGGUAUGAUGAGAUUGCAUGAUAUCAUCAUUAAAGAUUCAUCGGUGUACGAUGGGGAUGCGUUCCAUUAGGUAGUAGGCGGGGUAACGGCCCACCUAGCCUACGAUGGAUAGGGGUUCUGAGAGGAAGGUCCCCCACAUUGGAACUGAGACACGGUCCAAACUCCUACGGGAGGCAGCAGUGAGGAAUAUUGGUCAAUGGACGAGAGUCUGAACCAGCCAAGUAGCGUGAAGGAUGAAGGUCCUACGGAUUGUAAACUUCUUUUAUAAGGGAAUAAAACCUCCCACGUGUGGGAGCUUGUAUGUACCUUAUGAAUAAGCAUCGGCUAACUCCGUGCCAGCAGCCGCGGUAAUACGGAGGAUGCGAGCGUUAUCCGGAUUUAUUGGGUUUAAAGGGAGCGCAGACGGGUCGUUAAGUCAGCUGUGAAAGUUUGGGGCUCAACCUUAAAAUUGCAGUUGAUACUGGCGUCCUUGAGUGCGGUUGAGGUGUGCGGAAUUCGUGGUGUAGCGGUGAAAUGCUUAGAUAUCACGAAGAACUCCGAUUGCGAAGGCAGCACACUAAGCCGUAACUGACGUUCAUGCUCGAAAGUGUGGGUAUCAAACAGGAUUAGAUACCCUGGUAGUCCACACGGUAAACGAUGGAUACUCGCUGUUGGCGAUAUACAGUCAGCGGCUUAGCGAAAGCGUUAAGUAUCCCACCUGGGGAGUACGCCGGCACGGUGAAACUCAGAGGAAUUGACGGGGGCCCGCACAAGCGGAGGAACAUGUGGUUUAAUUCG
rnacentral:rRNA from 1 species